rnacentral:miRNA from 1 species
ACCCGAGAGGAGAAAGGGUUAAGUGGAAUAAGAAAGAAGUUAAAGCAUCUGGUCCUUACCACUAGACCGUCUCGCCUGCAGAUGCUUUAACUUCUUUCUUAUUCCACUUAACCCUUUCUCCUCCCG